rnacentral:rRNA from 1 species
GGAUUAGAUACCCUGGUAGUCCUAGCUGUAAACGAUGGAUACUAGACGUAGGAACUGGAUUGACGGUUUCUGUGUCGCAGCUAACGCGUUAAGUAUCCCGCCUGGGGAGUACGGUCGCAAGACUAAAACUCAAAGGAAUUGACGGGACCCCGCACAAGCGGCGGAGCAUGCGGCUUAAUUCGAUGAUACCCGUAGAACCUUACCUGGACUUGACAUAUAGGGUCUAGCUAUAGAGAUAUAGUGUGCAUUAGCGCCCUAUACAGGUGGUGCAUGGCUGUCGUCAGCUCGUGCCG